AGGCCCAUUAGCUAGCUCGAACCCUAAAAUGCAACAAUCAAUUUUUCAUAACCCCUGACUAAACCUCAAAACUCAAAACCAAAUCAUUUUUCCCCCCAAGUAUGGGCGACAGAAAAGGACAUACUGAAGCAACAGCAAUAGUACCGCAAGGGAACGCUGAAAGAGAAAUGAAACAAAUCAGUAAAGCACAGAAAAGCAGAGCUAAACCCUCGUACCUUUUGCAUCAUGAUUUAGCAAGAAAGUAUCAAGCAAAGCGCAUUUUAGUUUGAUUCCCCGAAACCAAGUGAGCUACUCCAAGACAGCCUCUAAGGGCGCACCCGUCUCUGUGGCAAAAGAGUGGGAAGAUCUUUGAGUAGAGGUGACAGACCUACCGAACUUGGUUAUAGCUGGUUGCUCAGGAAAUGAAUAGGAGUUCAGCCUUUUGCCCUCUCACUACACACAGCGGCUACACUUUCAAAGCACUAGAGCCGGGCAAAGGAGUUAGUCAAAGGGGGUACAGCCCCUUUGAAGAAAGAUACAACUUUACCAGGAGGGUUUAGAUCACAACAACUAUUAAGGGAAUGUGUCCUAGUUGGCCUAAGAGCAGCCACCCACACAGAAAGCGUUAAAGCUCAGACACUUUUCUACCCCUACUAUCCUGACCACAUAAUCUCACCCCCCUAACCAUACUGAGCCUUCCCAUACCCCUAUGGGAGCGAUCAUGCUAAUAUGAGUAAUAAGAGACCUAGAAUCUCUCCCUGCACAAGCGUAAAUCGGAACGAACUAACACCGAGAAUUAACGGCCCCAAAAAAGAGGGAACUGAAAUAUUAUGGCCAAGCCACUAGGAGACCAUCCACUCCACCACCGUUAACCUUACACCAGAGUGCAAACAAGGAAAGACUAAAAGAAAAAGAAGGAACUCGGCA
rnacentral:rRNA from 1 species